rnacentral:rRNA from 1 species
AACGAACGCUGGCGGCAGGCUUAACACAUGCAGGUCGAGCGCCCCGCAAGGGGAGCGGCAGACGGGUGAGUAACGCGUGGGAAUUUACCCAUCUCUACGGAAUAACGCAUGGAAACGUGUGCUAAUACCGUAUACGUCCUUCGGGAGAAAGAUUUAUCGGAGAUGGAUGAGCCCGCGUUGGAUUAGCUAGUUGGUGGGGUAAAGGCCUACCAAGGCGACGAUCCAUAGCUGGUCUGAGAGGAUGAUCAGCCACACUGGGACUGAGACACGGCCCAGACUCCUACGGGAGGCAGCAGUGGGGAAUAUUGGACAAUGGGCGCAAGCCUGAUCCAGCCAUGCCGCGUGAGUGAUGAAGGCCCUAGGGUUGUAAAGCUCUUUCACCGGUGAAGAUAAUGACGGUAACCGGAGAAGAAGCCCCGGCUAACUUCGUGCCAGCCGCCGCAGUAAAAC